GACAUUUAAUUGAUUAAAUCUCGCUUGAACCCCGCUGAUAUAAAGAUUUUGAUUAAGUUACUUUCUGUUCUGUUUAGGUGUGGGUAAAUAAGGGGACAAUUGUAAUUUUUAAGUAUGUAUUCAUGAUGUUCAAUGAAAUGACACAGCUUAGAGGAAUUGUACUUUGUCUAGCCAAAAAUAAUCUUUACUUCAAUAGAAAUUGCUAAGGCAGCUUAAAAUGUAAACAUGUUCCGCCCAAUGCCUCCCAGCUAUUGCUUAAAGAUAUAAAAAUAAAGUAGACCCUGAGGCUUCUCAGAGGGAACCUGGACAUUGCUUGCGGAGGUUCUUUCUCAUCGCCGGCCCAGGACAUCUCCCCUUCCUACCCUACAUCGACUGCAGCUGGUCUGCGGCAAGAGGGUUCUUCAGCAAGUCCACUUCCUCAGUCGAUGAUGUUUGGUGGUCGAGACAACUUCCAGGAGCAGCUGGAGAUGCAGGGUGGCUCUCUGCAAAAACUUGGGUUGGCACUGGAAGUAGACAAACAGGAAGUAUGCCAGGAAGCCACUGAGCAGGAACAAGAAAACAUACAGGAACUCCGUCUGGGGGUGGUCGAGGAUGGGCGCCAGCACCAGCUGCAUAGCACACACGGCCGCCACUGAAGAACACCACAUUGGCAGAACCAAUGGUAUCAGCCAGGCCCAGGACCCCCAGAACCUGGUCCCUAGGACAGCAGAGCAAUCAAGGGAAGGGAUUCCGCUGCAACCCAGCAGCUGGUCACAAAUUGAAAGUGGAGCAAGCAGCACAAUCAAAGGAAAAGUAGCUUCCAGAUCUCUCUGCCAGGACUGAGGUCGCCCACGGAAAACCCUGGAGGAGGAGAGACUGAGGGAGGAGGGCACAUGGAGGGCGGAAGCGAGGCAUCUCAGGACCUACUGCAGGUCCCCAAGUCCAGUCCCAGUGAUGACGCUGCCUCACUCUCCUUCAGCUUUUUGGGGAUACCACGUACAUCGCCCUUCUGGGCCCCAGGGUCAAGCUGAUGCUGCGUCUACGGAGCUGUGUUUCCGCGCAGCAUGUGGGCCUUCCAAACCUCGUCGGACUGCUCAGCCUUGUUCCUUACCCUCCCCCACCCGAGCGGGCAAAUUAGCGAAAGUGAAGCAAACAGGACGGCAAUGUUCUCUCAGGUCCCUUCCAGAACCAAAACCCCAGAAUCUGAGUGCCAAGGAAAUUGCUCUACCAGAGCAGGGUUCCUCAUCACCCCAGCCCUGGAAUCUGGCUCUGCCAAGAUCCAGAUGAGGCCACCUGGGUGUUCAGCGCUCUCCUCCACCGGCCUCGCUUAUGGGCCCUCGGCAAGGUGAGCUCCACAUGCGUGGCCAGCCCCACUGGUCGGAGGCCAAGCCUGGGAGGUUUCUGAACGCGC
rnacentral:lncRNA from 1 species